AAAACCACCAUUGCCGCAUCGAAAAAUUGGAAACAAUGGAGACUGGAUCGCCGAUGGUAUCGAUUUCUCCUCCCCCAAACCCUGUCCUGCCUUAAAUCCGCCCACCCACGCAGAGAUCUUAUUAGGUCAGAGUUGUGCAGAUCCAAACACACGGAGGGAACAAGGGAUGGAAAUCUUCAGAGCUAGUAAGGGCGCACUGCGAAGAUUAGAUAGUAGGAUGCUGACCGUUUGUGCUGAACGUGGGGAAAUGAUGAGGAGGAACGGUUGCAUCCCGCCGCCACCGCAGUUUGAGUUGGUCGAUUAUCCAGAUUUUUUCGAGAGAGCUUGGGGAUGGGAUUCCUUACUUCCACACAAUAUGGUUACUCCUUUGUUCCUAUACAAGAUGUACCUCCGGCAGUGUUACAUCCGCAAUCACCAAAUGGAAGCCAUUGCUGCUGGUGCCGAUGAUCUCGGUCUCGAUGGAGAUGAUCACGGGAAUGGAAUGCUAGCAGCUCUGGCUGGCUCGGUAGCUUCCUGCCUGGCACCUUGUUAUCCUGUUUAGCUUCUAAGUUCCCUAGCUUCAUCUUCUGAUUAGUUUAUAUAUGCUCACAACAUUUGUGAAAUCAUUUGAUUUUCGAGAGGAUUUCAGCCGAGGUGGUGUUCCUGGGUUCAAAUGUUAUUGCAAACCUCCCUCACUGCAGUCCUGGUGAAUGGCUGCCCUGGCCCGUGGAUAAGCUGCAAGCGUGGGCUUCGGCAGGGAGACCCCAUGUCCCCGUACUUAUUCCUGCUCGUGGCUGACGUCCUGCAGACUUUGAUCAAGCGCGCGAGCUCGGUGCGCAAUCCACUGGAUCCACGGUGCCCCUGCCCUGUGUUGCAAUAUGCCGACGACACGCUCAUCUUGCUCCGUGGCGAGCUGAGCGAUGUGCAGAAUCUGAAGGUUAUCUUGGAUCAGUUCUCUGCAGCUACCGGCUUACACAUAAACUUCCACAAGAGCACCGCUGUGCCCAUGCAUAUGGGCGAGGACCUCAUACCACAAUGCAUCGAUGUGCUGGGCUGUCGCCGUGAAGGCUUCCCUCAAACCUAUCUGGGACUGCCGCUUUCCUGCGAGAAGCUGCGUGUGUCUGCAUUUGAUCCUUACAUCUGCAAGGUUGAUCGCUACCUGGCUGGCUGGAAGGCGUCCCUCCUCAAUCCGAUAGGAAGAACGGUGCUGAUAAAUGCUGUUUUAGAUGGCCAAUUAUCCUAUGUCAUGAUGGCAGUGCCGUUGCCACUUGGGGUGAUCACCACGGUUGACAAGCGUCGGAGGAGCUUCCUCUGGACGGGAGAAGCAGACUCAAGUGGCGCUAAUUGUCUGAUGGCCUGGGACAAGGUCCGUCAGCCGCGCGCCAAAGGUGGACUAGGAAUCAGGGACCUGGCUGUGCAGAACACCUGUUUUGCUACUUAAGCUGCUAUAUAAACUGCACAACGAUACCCAGUCAUCGUGGGCAAAAUGGGUUCGGCAAAAUGUUUGCUUAGCUACGCUGGAGGGGGAAAUAGCUGGCUCGCACUGGGAAAUGCUGCGCAGCCUGCUGCCGCUCUACCAGGCAAUCACCACUGUUAACGUUGGAGAUGGAUGCUCUACAUCGUUUUGGGAUGACAUCUGGAUUGGUGAUGAUUGUCUCUCGGACAGGUUCCCAUUGCUACAGAGUCACUGCAAGCAAGCAAAUCAAUCAGUUUCUGAUGUUGUCCGUCAUGGCCUGCGCCACCACCUUGUCCCCAGCUUGACACCUGAAGCACAAUCUGAGCUCAGCCUGCUGGGCGUUCUCCUCUCUCAGGUGAACCUUGAGGACAAACCGGACAGUCGGUGUUCGUUGUUUGCGGAUGUGGAAGGGAAUCUGCGAACCUCGGAACUAUAUGCCCUGAUCAAGUCGAUGGGCACAGCGGACGGGGGUGUGGUCAGUUGCUUCUGGAAGAGCUGCGCGCCACCUCGAGUCCAAUUCUUUGCCUGGCUGCUGGUAAACGGGCGAAUCCAGUGCAAAGACAACCUCCUUCGGCGGAAGAUUGUGCAAGAUAACUCAUGCGACCUGUGCAACAGUGAGCCUGAAACUACUCUGCAUCUGCUCUUUCGCUGUCCGUUUGCUGCCUCCUUCUGGCGGGCUCUUGGGAUUGAAUUGCCGCCUGGUCUUGACAUCCACGACGUGCACAAAAUCCCCCGUCCAGAUACGAUUCCCGCUGCGCAUUUUGAUGCCUUCAUCCUUCUUUGCUGUUGGCACCUGUGGAAGAGGAGGAACAGCAUCACCUUCAGACAGGAAACAAUGUCGCUGCGCCAAACGCUGCAGGCCUGCCGGAGCGAUGCGAAAUUGUGGAGUUGUCGUCUACCGCGUGCUGAGCGACAUCUCGGAGACCUCUGGUGUUCCUUGUUUUCUUUGGCAAUGUAAACUGAUAUGUAAAAUGUAAACCACUAACUAUCCGGCCGUUUGAGGGCCACUGGAAUAAAAAUAGAAAACCCAGGUGGGGGAUCCUCUCCCCCUCCGUUGACCCGUCAAAAAAAUCAUUUGUUUUCAAGUGUAUCAAGAUGGAGAAUAGUCUUAAACAUGUGUGGGAAUGCCGUGCUGAAUCCUUCACUAUUGAUGAUGACGAGACGGAGGUCCAAUUGGUGAGUGACAACAUUACCAAGCGCGCUCAUGAAAUGGCUCAAAUUCGGGGAUCUGAAUUUCCUGCCACUGCUAUUGCUCUUAAGGUAUGUUUGCAUCCCUAUCUCUAACUUUAACAUACCAAGCAAACCCCUCCUUAAUUGGAAUGAUCAAUAAUGUUUGUAAAUUGACUCCUCUUGUGCUGAUUGCAAACCAUGUUUAAUUUCAAUUGUAUCACCAAAGAGGCUGAGCUGAUGCGCCAGUGCAUUAUUUCUGGGGAUUCCGUCAUGUCCUUCAGUUUAAGCAAUUCUCUUCGGCGGUGUGCCUUGAUCCUUAUGACCUGCAAAGAUUAUGUUCCUGCCGCCGCUGCCAUGAUGGAGUGACAUUACUGGAGAUUUGAAUUCCAAUGAAUUAGAUAAUAAACUGGCUGAUAAUGGCAAUCAUGAGGAAAGGGGCAAUGUAAGUGAAAAUAAGAACUCCAAGAAGGAACUAGCAAGGAAGGAUGGAAGCAAUAGGACAUAUGAAGAUCAGAUUCCCAAUGAGAAACUAGGAAGAAACAGCCUGGACAAGGGCGAGGGAAAGCUAGAUAACUUCUCACAGCAAGGGCUUUUUUAGAAGGCUGGUACAGAAGAGCAAGUUAACCAGGUGGGAAGCAGCAAUGAGGAUGGUUCUGCUUCUAAGGAGGAGAAGCUGUCUGGAAAAGCUGGUGGUCCCAAAAAGUGGAUUUCAGGAUGCUUUACUUUGGGGAAACGAGGAAGGAACGCCAAUGGAACAGCAAGCUAAUGAACAAUGAUGCCGAAUUCUCAUCUAGUAGAUGAACUCUCCUAUAAUGAAUAAUGAUGCCGAAUUCUCAUCUAAUAGAUGAACUCUCUCCUAUAUUUUGCAUUGGUGUAGCUCUUGUUAUGGACAAUCUGUGAUUAGCGCUCUAGACAUUUUUCUCAUAAGAGGAAAAUGAAACGUGUUGAUGCUAUGAU